UACGUAGGGGCGAGCGUUGUCCGGAGUUACUGGCGUAAGCGCAACGCAGGCGGUCUGCUAAGUUUGGAGUGACAGUUGGUGGCUUAACUGCCAAAGUGCUUCGAAAACUGACAGACUUGAGGGCUUCAGAAGGGACACGGAAUUCCGGGUGGAGUGGUGGAAAUGCGUAGAGAUCCGGAGGAACACCAAGGCGAAGGCAGUGUCCUGGGGAGUACCUGACGCUGAGGAGCGAAAGCGUGGGAGCGAACAGG
rnacentral:rRNA from 1 species